CCAAGAUCUGAAAAAAAUGUGCACAAUAUUGUAUAUAUAACACAAAGUCAGUCCAAGCCGUGUAGGAGUCGAAUUCCAUCAAUUUGUGAGCAAGGGAGUAGAGGGGGCGCCGCCCUGAGUUGAGCCCCGCUCUAGGUGAGGUUGUGCCCUGGGUAAAGCGCCACUCUAGGUGAGGCUGCACCAUAUCUAUAUCUCAGCUCCAAGUGGGGUUCCGCGGGCUAAUCGCCUUGACCUUCUGGAAGUUGCUUCCACGGAUUUGAUUAAGUGUUGGUCCUCCAAUCUUUCAUCCCUUAACUUGUGGUGUAUUUUUCAUGGAUUUUCAGCCUUUUAAACAUCAAAAUAUCAUCAUAUUCAGCUCACAAAGCUUCCUACAUAAUCACAUCACAUGAAUUAGAGAUCAUAAAAAUACAAUAUUCAUGAUGAUGAAUCAAAAAUACAAGCUAAGACUAGGCUAAUUUGCAUUGAUCUUUAACUUUUUGUUCCGAAUCUUAACUUAAUCAAAUUGAACCUUGCACAUUACCAACAAGUUAUUCCACUCAUAAUUAUACAUUUAAAACCAUUUGGAACACAUUAAAUACAAUAGAAUUCAAUGGGAUCAACUAGACAAGAACCUAGCUCAAGCUAGUAACGCUAGUUUCCACUAUUGAACUCUAAAUGACUCAUUGAAGUAUAAACUUGUUUGAAAUUCACUUUGAACAUUGUAAACACAUGCUUUAACACUUAGAUUCACAUUUAUCUCAUUGUCAAACCAUAUAGCAUAUGAAUCAUCCUCAAAACAAGGCUAAAAAGACUAGAAUAGUAAGACUAAAAUGCAUAAAUACAUCCAACAUCACACCUCCCUAAUCUUUAGGAUGGUACCCAGACUGAAGAUCUAUCUUAGAAAAGAACUUGACACCUUGCAAUUGAUCAAAUAGAUCAUCUAUCCUUGAAAGAGAAUACUUGUUCUUGACCAUCACCUUAAUCAAAUGCCUAUAGUCAAUGAACAUCCAAAGGGAACCAUCUUUCUUGCGCACAAACAACACUGGUGUACCCCAAGGAGAUACACUAGGAUGAAUAAACCCCUUAUCCAGAAGAUCCUUAAGUUGCUCCUUGAGUUCCCUCAACUCCGCCGGAGCCAUUCUAUAUGGAGGAAUAGAAAUUGGACGAGUGUCCGUAAUUAGAUUAAUACCAAACUCUAUUUCCCUAUCCAGAAGAACACUAGGAAGAUAAUCCAGAAAGACCUCUGAAAACUCAUUAAUCAGUGGAACUGACUUAAAAGAAGGACCUUUAGAGUUAGAAUCUUUAACCCAGAAUAAGUGAUAAAGAUACCUUUUAGAGAUUAACCUCCGAGCUCUAAGAUAAGAAAUAAACCUCCCCUAGGGGCUAAAGAAACACCCUCCCAUUCUAUAACCUGCUCACCAAGGAACCUAAAGACAACCCUACGGGUUCGACAAUCCAAAGACGCGUAACAAGAGUGUAGCCAGUCCAUAUCCAAAAUAAUAUCAAAAUUCACCAUAUCCAACUUAAAUAGAUCCACCAAGGUCUACUUGCCACAAACAGAUACCACACCCCCUAUAGACUCUCCUAGCAAUAACUGAGUCACCUACUAGGAUAGAAAUAGAAAAAGGAUCCAAAAUAACUUCCUGAUCAAAACCAAAAUAUACAAACACAUAAGGAGUCAUAUAAGAGAGAGUAGACCCCGGAUUAAGAAAAUAAUAUACGUCACGUGAGAAAAUUUGUAACAUACCACUAGCUACAUCAGGUGAUGCCUCAGAUUCCUGUCGGGACGCCAAAGCAUACAACCUGUUUCGGACAACACUAAAACCAAGAGUAGUAACAGAAACAGAUGCAACACCACCAGGUAUAGGAGCAAAAGAUGAAGCCACAGGAAUCUCAUUCAUCCCUGUAGCAACCUUAUUAAUUGGAUAAUCCCUGAGCCGAUUUCCUGUCUGGCCAUACUUAAAGCAUUUGUCCUUUCCUUUAUCACAAUAACCUCGAUAAGGACGACCACAAAACCAACAAGAAGGGUAUAAAGAAACUGACUGACCUUCGCUUCCUGAGGUUGGACAACCUGCGCCCGAAAAUUAUCACCACUAUGAUGACGUCUGUCGCCCGACUAGUAAGGUGCACUAACAGUAGAGUAGGAACCAGAAUUCCUUUACUUUUUUUUGCUAUUUGCCACCAUUUCGACCACCCUGUGAUUAGAAAAUCUGCUCCUCUUACCCUGCCUAUCCCCAAACUCUACCUGCUUCCUCUUUUCAUCAUCUACUUGCUGUAUAUGAACAAUCAUCCUAGAGAUGUCUGUAUCCUUAAUUAGUAAGGCAGUCUUACUCUCCAAAAUCAGAUCCUGAUUCAACCCAGAAGUGAACUUCCUCAUUGUAUCCCAUAUAUCAGCCACCAAAUAAGGAGCAUAACUUUACAAUUGGUGAAAGUUCAAGGCAUAUUCCUUGAUAGAAAUUCUCCCCUACUUGAGGUUCACAAACCCCUCCAUCUUUGCUUCCCUCAACUCUUGGGGAAAGAAGCGAUCAAGAAAAAUACCAAAGAAGGUAUCCCACAAGGAUGACUCCUCCACAUCUUCUCUAUCCCUAUCCCACUCUUCAUACCACUAUAUGCAACAUCUUUAAGCUGAUAAGCUAUAAAGUGUACCCCCUCCACAUUGGUAGCCUGCAUCACCCAAAAUAUCUUCUCCAUCUCAUCCAAGAAGCCCUGUGGAUUCUCCUCCACCUUUACUCUGAAAAAAGUGAGAGGGCCCAUCUUCAUAAAUUGUCCAACCCUUGUGACACAACAGACAAAAAAACAGACAUAUCUCGCUCAGCCUGAGCAACAACCAGUUUUGCAAUAGUGUAAACAGACUGGUGGAAUUCUGCAUUAGUCACCUCGCCUGGAGAAAAGCUAGUAGCAACUGGUGAAACUCCAAAACUA
rnacentral:lncRNA from 1 species